CACGUAGGGGGCAAGCGUUGUCCGGAAUUAUUGGGCGUAAAGAGCUCGUAGGCGGUUUGUCGCGUCUGCUGUGAAAACUCGGGGCUUAACCCCGGGCCUGCAGUGGGUACGGGCAGACUAGAGUGCGGUAGGGGAGACUGGAAUUCCUGGUGUAGCGGUGAAAUGCGCAGAUAUCAGGAGGAACACCGGUGGCGAAGGCGGGUCUCUGGGCCGUAACUGACGCUGAGGAGCGAAAGCGUGGGGAGCGAACAGG
rnacentral:rRNA from 1 species